UAAUACGUAGGGUGCGAGCGUUAAUCGGAAUUACUGGGCGUAAAGCGUGCGCAGGCGGUUGGUUAAGUCUGAUGUGAAAGCCCCGGGCUCAACCUGGGAAUGGCAUUGGAAACUGUCCAGCUGGAGUGUGGCAGAGGGGGGUGGAAUUCCGCGUGUAGCAGUGAAAUGCGUAGAGAUGCGGAGGAACACCGAUGGC
rnacentral:rRNA from 1 species